GUGCACCCCCCCAGAAAAUCCGUCCUUGAUUACAACCUGAAUAAGCAGAAGGUUUCGGUGGUGAGGGAAUAUUCAUUAGGGAGCAGAAACGUCUCACAGAAGCUUCUCCUUGUCCAAUGGCAAUGCUUUCUCAUUGCAUAAACAAGUCUUCUGUUUACAUAAAAAAAAUGUUUGACUUUUUUAUGUAAAAAUGUAUAAACCCAACCACAUUUAUCACAACACAGCCGAAGAUGAGAAGCACAACCUAUUUUUUCCCAAGGAUCAUCUUUAAGACUAAGACUAGAUUCUCCACAUAACUUACAAUGACACUUGCUGCAAAAGUUCAUUCAGUUAUUACACAUCAAUGAAAUGAUAAGCAAUUAUUUUAGGCUCUUCAUCUUUGGAACUGCUACUGGUCAGUAGCAUCAAAGCUACAAGACUGACCUAUUUUUCUUGCUGAAGCAGAGAGAUUAGUAACCGACUCACUAGAAACUCACUGGUUGCUCAAUACUGUCAACACAAGUUUUCUCUGCAAAGCUAAAAUGGGAAUACUUCAAUAUAGUAUACUUGAAAGGGAGGUGUAAAAACCGAUCUAAAUAUAAAUUAUUCAAACCUAGAACGCUUUCAAAGAGGCAGAUACCGUAAACCUCCGACUGUAAGCUCUGGGCUUAUAUACUUUCGUAAGCGAUUUUUGAUGGGCUUAUACAAGGGGAGGGGGGCUUAUAUACGGGUGGGCUUAUACAUGGACGAUCUUUUGUGUUAGUAAUAAAAAAAAAAUGAAAAAAAAAAUGAUUCCAAUGAUUCCACAACCCGUUACGUCGUUACGGUCUCCGCAUACUUCUGGCCUCUAACAGAUGUCUCCUAAAUAAUUCGUCGCCAAUCUGGUACAAAAUUUAAGAUAAAUCUUCGGAGAAUCUCGUGGUAUAAUUUUCGUGUUAUUAAUUUGUGAAUUCAAUAAUAUAUUUUUGGAUUUUCUAUCGUGAACAUCUGCCUGCCCCGUGUCUCUCGCUACAAAUCGUGAACUUUGGGUUUUGAGC